rnacentral:rRNA from 1 species
GACGAACGCUGGCGGCGUGCUUAACACAUGCAAGUCGAACGGAAAGGCCCUGCUUUUGUGGGGUGCUCGAGUGGCGAACGGGUGAGUAACACGUGAGUAACUUGCCCUUGACUUUGGGAUAACUUCAGGAAACUGGGGCUAAUACCGGAUAGGAGCUCCUGCUGCAUGGUGGGGGUUGGAAAGUUUCGGCGGUUGGGGAUGGACUCGCGGCUUAUCAGCUUGUUGGUGGGGUAGUGGCUUACCAAGGCUUUGACGGGUAGCCGGCCUGAGAGGGUGACCGGCCACAUUGGGACUGAGAUACGGCCCAGACUCCUACGGGAGGCAGCAGUGGGGAAUACUGCACAAUGGGCGGAAGCCUGAUGCAGCAACGCCGCGUGCGGGAUGACGGCCUUCGGGUUGUAAACCGCUUUCGCCUGUGACGAAGCGUGAGUGACGGUAAUGGGUAAAGAAGCACCGGCUAACUACGUG